UAAAUUGUCAAGGGCUUUAAA
rnacentral:piRNA from 1 species